rnacentral:rRNA from 1 species
GAUGAACGCUGGCGGCGUGCCUAAUACAUGCAAGUCGAGCGAACAGACGAGGAGCUUGCUCCUCUGACGUUAGCGGCGGACGGGUGAGUAACACGUGGAUAACCUACCUAUAAGACUGGGAUAACUUCGGGAAACCGGAGCUAAUACCGGAUAAUAUAUUGAACCGCAUGGUUCAAUAGUGAAAGACGGUUUUGCUGUCACUUAUAGAUGGAUCCGCGCCGCAUUAGCUAGUUGGUAAGGUAACGGCUUACCAAGGCAACGAUGCGUAGCCGACCUGAGAGGGUGGCCGGCAACACGGGAACGGAGCCAGGGCCCAGCCCCCGAGGGGAGGCGGCAGAGGGGAUUCUUCCGAAAGGGGGGAAAGCCUGACGGAGCACCGCCGGGUGGGUGAUGAAGGUCUUCGGAUCGAAAAACUUUUUUAUUGGGGAAAAAAAAAUGUGAAAGUAACUGUGCACGUCUUGACGGUACCUAAUAAGAAAGCCACGGCUAACUACGUG